rnacentral:rRNA from 1 species
UACGGAGGUGCCUAGCGUUGUUCGGAAUUACUGGGCGUAAAGCGCACGUAGGCGGCUUUGUAAGUUAGAGGUGAAAGCCCGGGGCUCAACUCCGGAAUUGCCUUUAAGACUGCAUCGCUCGAAUUGUGGAGAGGUAAGUGGAAUUCCGAGUGUAGAGGUGAAAUUCGUAGAUAUUCGCAAGAACACCAGUGGCGAAGGCGGCUCACUGGCCCGGUACUGACGCUGAGGUGCGAAAGCUAGGGGAGCAAACAGG